AUCAGGGAAAGUGGCCAAAAGCCUUUCGUGGAGAGACAGGAUCUGAGGAAGGGAAGGAGUUCAUUAUUAUUCUCUGAAGUCAUCAGGGAGCACCAAGAGGGUGGGAUUUCAGGAAGUAUUUAAAUGAAAGGAGACACAUGGCUUGGCACAGUGAGAGGGAGGUUUUCCAGGCUUCCUGUGCUGUCUUGGGGACCUGCUCAGAGGCUGGACCGCGUCAUGCUCAGAAGGCCCUGUUUUCUUUAGACGCUGACUCCUGCUGUCUACCAGAUCCUCGUGGUACAAUGACUGGUGUAGACUGGCUUGUUGAAGUCACUCUCUGGAUCUGAGCAACGCUGGCUGAGCCGUGAUGAAGUAUUCCUAUCCAUCCACUAUGCUUCACAGUGGGAAUCUCUCACUGUUCAUCACCGCUGCCCUAGCAGCCGCAGCUAACAUCUUCUAGUCAAACAACUCUCCUUUUCAAAGGGACCAGGCACAGUUUCUGCUUAUCCCUGAGUAGCAGUGUUCAGUUUCCUGCCAGCCUGUGGAGUUUUUCAAACAAGCCAAUCACCUCCUCCUGUGGGAACUGAGAAGCACCCCACCCUCUCGAUACUACAAAGCCCCUGCUUGUUCCCUAGUGCAACUCCCAUGUGGUCCUGUGGAGCAUAUGGUAUCUUCCUCUUCUGGGCAGUGAGCAUAUGUGACUAAUAAACUAUCUAUCUCAUC
rnacentral:lncRNA from 1 species